GCGGCCGCUCCGGUUGUUUYCUGGCAGAGGUUACUGCUAUCGAGGUCCGACUAAGCCAUGCGAGUCGAAUGUAGCAAUACAUGGCAUACUGCUCAGUAACACGUGGACAACCUACCCUCAGAGCGGGGAUAAACCCGGGAAACUGGGUAUAAUACCCGAUAGUUCUCGAAUGCUGGAAUGCGUCGAGGACGAAAGCUCCGGCGACUGAGGAUGGGUCUGCGGCCUAUCAAGUAGUAGUGGGUGUAACGUACCUACUAGCCUACGACGGGUACGGGUUGUGAGAGCAAGAGCCCGGAGAUGGAUUCUGAGACACGAAUCCAGGCCCUACGGGGUGCAGCAGGCGCGAAAACUUUACAAUGCUGGCAACAGCGAUAAGGGGACCUCGAGUGCCAGGAUACAAUCUUGGCUGUCGUGAUGCCUAAAAAGCAUUGCAUAGCAAGGGCCGGGCAAGGCCGGUGCCAGCCGCCGCGGUAACACCGGCGGCUCGAGUGGUAACCGCUAUUAUUGGGUCUAAAGGGUCUGUAGCCGGCCGGAUAAGUCUUUUGGGAAAUCCAGCUGCUCAACAGUUGGGCUUCCAGAAGAUACUGUUCGGCUCGAGGCCGGGAGAGGUGAGAGGUACUUCAGGGGUAGGGGUGAAAUCUUGUAAUCCUUGAAGGACCACCAGUGGCGAAGGCGUCUCACCAGAACGGUCCUGACGGCAAGGGACGAAAGCUAGGGGCACGAACCGGAUUAGAUACCCGGGUAGUCCUAGCCGUAAACGAUACUCGCUAGGUGUCAGCCACGGUGCGACCGUGGUUGGUGCCGUAGGGAAGCCGUGAAGCGAGCCACCUGGGAAGUAGGGCCGCAAGGCUGAAACUUAAAGGAAUUGGCGGGGGAGCACUGCAACGGGUGGAGCUGCGGUUUAAUUGGAUUCAACGCCGGGAAGCUUACCGGGAUCGACAGCAAUAUGAAGGCCAGGCUGAAGACCUUGCCGGAUUAGCUGAGAGGUGGUGCAUGGCCGUCGUCGGUUCGUACUGUGAAGCAUCCUGUUAAGUCAGGCAACGAGCGAGACCC
rnacentral:rRNA from 1 species